GCUGACCGUCGCCCCCGCGAAGGCGGGGGCCGCUGGCGGCGUAGCGCAAGGUUGCCAGCGGCCCCCGCCUUCGCGGGGGCGACGACUCUU
rnacentral:miRNA from 1 species